rnacentral:lncRNA from 1 species
GCCAGAUGUAUCAUUCUUCAGAAUCUAGUCUGUGAAACUCUCUUCCUGAAUGCCAGAUGGACAUAAGAAAACUUUCAGUCAUCUGGAGCUGAAUGUGGAAAGACCAAAGAAAAUACUUUCCAUUUAGAACUUAUAGUAUACUGCGAACAGACAAAAUCUAAGGAAUGGCAUGUCUGACUUUUACGGAUGAUUAAAUGGGACAAAUAAGGAAAGUCAUUCAUUUGAGUUUCACUUGUAUGAAUGCAAUCUGGAGUGACUGGAAAGAGCCUGAAUCUAGGCCAUCCCCAAGGCCUGUACAGUUCACCUCAAACUCAAAACAACAGUCUACAUUUUUUUCACAAGAGUUUUCUCCAGCAAUGAGACACAAACAGAAUAGAGAAUACCUGGCUUGUUUUAAAUAUGAAGACAUUUAGUCCAGAGAAAUUAG